rnacentral:rRNA from 1 species
GUUACUGAAUAUACCACCCUGCGUCCCACUGCUGGCUUGUCUCCGAAGCUAAGCAGGGUUGGGCCUGGUCGGUCUCUGGGUGGGAGACCAGAUGCUGCUAGAAGAGGAGGGCCAGUAGGA